rnacentral:other from 1 species
CUGGAACUGCCCGGUGCGUCAGGUAUAUUGUCCCUUGGACCGAUAACUUACGCUUGGGGAGCCGUCGCUGGCGGGGGCACUGCCCCUGCGCAUAUGGCGCCCACCUGUUCACACGGGUCGAAUGCGGCUUUCUUACCAACGGCCAGGGCGGUUCCUUU